UGCGGAUGUGGUAGAGCGGCGAGGUAGCAGCGCCAGCGUGGCACCGGCGGCGUGCCGCGAGCAGGGCAGCGCGGGCGGGGUGGGGGCGGAGCUAGCUGCGAGCACCCGGCGGCAUGUGCGAAGUAGUGGUUGGAGGGAACUUGAAGCGCAGAUUCAUAUAGCGACCUAUUCUCGGCAGGGGAGCGGGAGUGGAAGCACAGAUUGAAGAACUUAGUGGUAGUAGGUGCAGGUUCACGACACACGCAUCCCUAAUCCUCUGCAUUGUGUUCAUCGUCAUAAGCAUUUCAGUAGCUUGCAAUAGGCAUUUUUGUCAAAUAGUAGAAGCAUUUUCAGUACUUUUCUAUAGGUAAUUUAUCAAUUACUAGAAGCAUUUAAGCACUUUUCCAGUAGGUAACUCAGUGCAUUUGUUCAGUCAAUUUAUUUUCACAAGCUGAAAUCAAACAACCUGAUACCUGAUCAAUUCACUACAUUAUAUUUGUAGGUCAUGUGCAGCGAAGCUAAAGUAUAAGCAGGGUGUAUCUAGUGGUUACCUGAUGACCGAUGAAACAAUAUUAUUGUGAAUAUGUUUUAUUUGCUUGUAUAUUUAUUCUAACUUGCUUUGGAUAAGUCUGUUUUAUUUGCUUGUACAUUUAUUCUAAAUUGCCUUGGAGUUUA